rnacentral:rRNA from 1 species
AACAGGAUUAGAUACCCUGGUAGUCCACGCCGUAAACGUUGGGCGCUAGGUGUGGGGGCCAUUCCACGGUCUCCGUGCCGCAGCUAACGCAUUAAGCGCCCCGCCUGGGGAGUACGGCCGCAAGGCUAAAACUCAAAGGAAUUGACGGGGGCCCGCACAAGCGGCGGAGCAUGUUGCUUAAUUCGAUGCAACGCGAAGAACCUUACCUAGGCUUGACAUGCACGGAAAUCUGUCAGAGAUGGCAGGUCCUUCGGGGUCGUGCACAGGUGGUGCAUGGUUGUCGUCAGCUCGUGUCGUGAGAUGUUGGGUUAAGUCCCGCAACGAGCGCAACCCUCGUUCUAUGUUGCCAGCGGGUCAUGCCGGGGACUCAUAGGAGACUGCCGGGGUCAACUCGGAGGAAGGUGGGGAUGACGUCAAAUCAUCAUGCCCCUUAUGUCUAGGGCUGCAAACAUGCUACAAUGGCCGGUACAAAGGGCUGCGAUACCGUGAGGUGGAGCGAAUCCCAAAAAGCCGGUCUCAGUUCGGAUUGGGGUCUGCAACUCGACCCCAUGAAGUUGGAGUCGCUAGUAAUCGCAGAUCAGCAACGCUGCGGUGAAUACGUUCCCGGGCCUUGUACACACCGCCCGUCACGUCACGAAAGUCGGUAACGCCCGAAGCCGGUGGCCCAACCCUUUUGUGGGAGGGAGCCGUCGAAGGCGGGAUCGGCGAUUGGGACGAAGUCGUAACAAGGUAACC